GGUGGAGGGGCGGGCAGGCAGGGUGGGGGCCACAGGGAGGUGGGGGCAUUUCAGCUGUGGGCAGAGAUGAAGUCCCUGGACGCCUAAGCCUCUUGCUGCUUCUCCAGCUGCCACUGCCCCUGAUGGAACUCAUGGAGAAUGAAGCUCUGGAAAUCCUCACCAAAGCCCUCCGGAGCUACCAGUUAGGGAUCGGCAGGGACCACUUCCUGACUAAGGAGCUGCAGCGAUACAUCGAGGGGCUCAAGAAGCGCCGGAGCAAGAGGCUGUACGUGAAUUAAAAACGCCACCUUGGGCUCGAGCAGCGACCCGAACCAGCCCCGCGCCUGCCCGGUCCCCAGACCCAAGCCCGACCCCAUCCGAGUGGAAUUUGAGUCCUAAAGA
rnacentral:sRNA from 1 species